rnacentral:rRNA from 1 species
UAGCAUAUCAAUAAGCGGAGGAAAAGAAACCAACAGGGAUUGCCCCAGUAACGGCGAGUGAAGCGGCAACAGCUCAAAUUUGAAAUCUGGCCCCUCGGGUCCGAGUUGUAAUUUGUAGAGGAUGCUUUUGGCAAGGCGCCGCCCGAGUUCCCUGGAACGGGACGCCACAGAGGGUGAGAGCCCCGUCUGGCUGGCCGCCGAGCCUCUGUAAAGCUCCUUCGACGAGUCGAGUAGUUUGGGAAUGCUGCUCAAAAUGGGAGGUAUAUGUCUUCUAAAGCUAAAUAUUGGCCAGAGACCGAUAGCGCACAAGUAGAGUGAUCGAAAGAUGAAAAGCACCUUGAAAAGAGGGUUAAAUAGUACGUGAAAUUGUUGAAAGGGAAGCGCUUGUGACCAGACUUGGGCGCGGCGGAUCAUCCGGGGUUCUCCCCGGUGCACUUCGCCGCGUCCAGGCCAGCAUCAGUUCGUCGCGGGGGAAAAAGGCUCCGGGAACGUGGCUCCCCUGGGAGUGUUAUAGCCCGUUGCACAAUACCCUGCGGUGGACUGAGGACCGCGCAUCUGCAAGGAUGCUGGCGUAAUGGUCACCAGCGACCCGUCUUGAAACACGGACCAAGGAGUCGUCUUCGUAUGCGAGUGUUCGGGUGUCAAACCCCUACGCGUAAUGAAAGUGAACGCAGGUGAGAGCUUCGGCGCAUCAUCGACCGAUCCUGAUGUUCUCGGAUGGAUUUGAGUAAGAGCAUACGGGGCCGGACCCGAAAGAAGGUGAACUAUGCCUGUAUAGGGUGAAGCCAGAGGAAACUCUGGUGGAGGCUCGCAGCGGUUCUGACGUGCAAAUCGAUCGUCAAAUAUGGGCAUGGGGGCGAAAGACUAAUCGAACCUUCUAGUAGCUGGUUUCCCCAA